AGUACCAUGAAGAAGAGAUCAGAAUCCCCAAGCUGGAGUAGAAGUUCUCCGGUGUUUCAGAGAGAAGAGUGAGACCAGAGACCAGAAUCUUCAUGUGAAUGAUCUGUGCUGUGAGCACGACGCUUUUCAUAAAUCAUAUUCUUUUCAGACUGCAUUCCCUACAGGGGAAAUGGAAGAGUCCCACAAGGCAGCCCUGAAGAACCAUCAACAGAGUUGAUGUCGUUCCCUCCUUUUCCAUCCUCGAGUCACUUGGCCCAAAAUCCUUUCCCUCCCCUUUCUCACCCAGCCCAUUGGAUGUUCCUUUUUAGAAAACCAAAGAGUGUUAGUCUCUGGAUGGAAAUCAUCUUUAAAUUCUAAGAAACUGCUUCUGAGCUGCCCCGGG